AGAGUUGAUCAUGGCUCAGGAUGAACGCUAGCUACAGGCUUAACACAUGCAAGGUCGAGGGCAGCAUGAAGUUGCUGCAAACUUGAUGGCGACCGGCGCGACGGGUGAGUAACGCGUAUCCAACCUUCCCUAUACUAGAGGAUAGCCCGGCGAAAGUCGGAUUAAUACUCUAUGUUCUUCGUAGAAGACAUCUGAAAUGAAGCAAAGGUUUACCGGUAUAGGAUGGGGAUGCGUCUGAUUAGGUUGUUGGCGGGGUAACGGCCCACCAAGCCCACGAUCAGUAGGGGUUCUGAGAGGAAGGUCCCCCACAUUGGAACUGAGACACGGUCCAAACUCCUACGGGAGGCAGCAGUGAGGAAUAUUGGUCAAUGGACGAGAGUCUGAACCAGCCAAGUAGCGUGCAGGAUGACGGCCCUAUGGGUUGUAAACUGCUUUUAUACAGGGAUAAAGUUCACUACGUGUAGUGUUUUGUAGGUACUGUAUGAAUAAGGACCGGCUAAUUCCGUGCCAGCCGCCGC
rnacentral:rRNA from 1 species